GAAGCUGGGCCAGGACCCGAUCGAUGGUUCUUUUUCCCGCCUUCCCAUCGUUCCUUCCUUCGCAGGUUGGGGCAGCGGCGGAGCCACGACCUUCCCACUUCGCCGCUCUUCACACUUCACUCCUUUUCGACUCUGCUCCGCCAUGGCCUGUUCCGGGGUCGUAAGUUUGAAUGGCCGAAUCGACUAAGUUUGAAGUUGUUACGCAGGUUUAGUCGACGUCAUUGAGGAGGACGAGAGCAGAGUGUUGUCUUUGAGCAGGUUGGAUUCGGCCUGGAUUUUGAAUUCGGGGAACAAGUUUGAGGGGAAGAGGGUGCGGCGGAGUAGGGACGUGUUCCAAGAUGGUAAGGGGAGUGGUGACUGUGAUGAUCUGGAGGUGGAGUGAGGUGAUUUGAGGGGAUUUGAAAGUAGUGCUGCGAUGCAGGGCGGUAGUGUAGGCGGAGCGCCAACUGCGGAAGCGAUAAUAGAAUGGUUACAGCAGGAGAUGGGAUACAGAGCAGCGCCGUCGGUAGAGGCGCUGCGCAGGAUUUGCAGGGGGAAUAUGAUGCUCGUGUGGAAGUUCUUAUUGGACAGGGUGAAGAGUGACCAAACGGUGGAAAAGAUUCGGCGCAAUAUUCAUGUGCAUGGCAGCCCGGCUCGAGGGACGGCCGUGAGUGAGGUUGGGAAACGAGAUUUGAGGGGAGAUGCGGGGGACGAGGGAGGGAAGGAGAAGGAGAUAGAGUCGGUUAAGAUUGAGAGAUCAAAUUCAGGGAAGAGUGUGAGAAGGAGGCCUGGGACAAGUGAUUACAAGAGCCGAUCGAGACCUGGGACGGGGGACAGGCCAAAGUCGAGGGAAGGUGCUGAUCAAAGGGAUAGAGAGAAGGUGGCUGAUAGCGAGGAUUCGAUUGAGAAAGCAUUGGGUGAGAGGGAUGCUGCGGAGCAUGAGGUGGAGAAAUUGAGAUUGUCUGUGCAGCGCAUGACUAAGGAUUUGAAAAGCCGCAUGCUGGAUGUCUCCAAGGAGGAAUGUGAACGGCAACGCGUUCAUGAAGAUAAAAGUAACUCGAGACACAAGCAGGUGUUGUUGGAAUCAUACGAUCAGCGUUCAGAACAGUCGAUUCGCAUAUUUAUGGAAUAUUGGAAGCGACUGCACGGAUAUGUUGAGCAUGCAAGGGACGUGCAGAGAGGAAAGGCGGGGCCAUCUGACUUUCCUCUAGAGCGGGCCCAAACCAACUUAGAUGCACAUCUUUCUACAUCAGUAAGUGUAUCUGACGGCAAUCAAAUAUUAAAUGAGUCUUCUCGAGAAAGGACUAUUCGUCAAGCCUGUGAAGUUCUCUCAGCUGCCUUAUUGGAUAAAAUUAGGAGCUCUUUUCCAGCAUAUGACGGUGGAAGCAGCAAUUCCGAUGGGCAGCUAGAAGUUGCAAAGUUAAGCUUUGAAGUGGACGGGGAUGGCAUCCCAGAAGAAGUGAAAGAGAGUGCCACGAUUUUGUUGAGAAAUCCACCUCUGUUAUUACAAGCCAUGAACGACUAUUCUAAACGUGUUGUGGCAAUGAUCGAAUCCGAAACUGAGAAAAUUGAUGUUAGAGCGGAUGCUGAACGGCUUAGGUACAGGUAUGAGAAUAACAGAGUUCUUGAGGACAUUUCGGCUGAGGCAGAUGAUUUGUUGAAUUUGCACCGCCGCAACCCUAGGGGUGGCAGUAAGGAAGUCAAAAACACAUUUAAACAACUUCGAGAAAGACAGAGAGCGCACGCUUUUCAGUUCAUGGCCACUGAGGAUGCAGUGAACCAGGCUGCUGAAGCUAAGAAGAGAAGCGAUGAACUGAUUUUAAGGAUUCACGAAGUUGGUGCAGACGCCACAAAUACUGGACCUCUCAGGCAACAUGAAUUAGAAGUGUGGGCGAAGGAAAGAGAGCUGGCAGGAGUCCGAGCUAGUUUAAAUACACUAUUGUCAGAGGUUCAGCGACUGCAUAAGUUAUGCGAGGAGCGAAGAAAAGCAGAAGAAGCACUUCGACAGAAAUGGAAAAGGAUAGAGGAGUUCGAUUCUAGGCGCUUGGGAUUGGAAGCUAUUUAUACUGCUCUGCUCCGUGCGAACAUGGCAGCAGCAGCUGCUUGGGAGCAUCACUCAAGGGCGUCUAGAGAGCAGUCGGCAAGCACAAUCAUCCCCAUUUGCGAGUCUUUACAAAACAAAUCCAACGCCGCACGUGACCUCAUAGAGAGGGAACUCUCAGCCUUUCAAAGGAGUCCUGACAACCGUUUAUACAUGAUGCCAGCUUUCGUCCCGGGUCUUUUAGAGGGAAUGACUUCCAGUACCUCAAGUGGAGCCGAGGCUAUUGCAGCUGCAGAGAGGAAUGCUGAUUUGCUCACCGCCAAGGCAGCAAGUGGAGAUCCAUCUGCUAUUCCAUCAAUUUGCCGCAUUUCAGCAGCGAUGCAUUCUUCCGGAGUGGAAAGUGGAGAUCUUGGGCUCACUCAAAUUGUGGACUCUUUGCGGUUCUUCCUCCGACCUGGUGGGACGUCUGCAAACCUUGUAGAGGAUCUUGCCAAAGCAGUGAAUCAAGUGCAGACCUUAAAAGAUCUUCUUAAAAGUGGCCGUGGAUUGUUAGCUGCUGCCGGUGCAUCGAUACCCGAGUAUGAAAGGAGUGUGCAACAAUGUGCUGAAAAGUCAGCUGAGCAAGAUAAGCUUGCUCUGGAGGUAUGGUUACCAGAGCUUAAGAGUGCAGUACAAGAGGCCCAACGGUGUUUGGAGGACUGCAAGCGCGUACGUGGCUUGGUUGAUGAGUGGUGGGAACAGCCAGCAGCUACUGUGGUUGACUGGGUCUCUGUUGAUGGCCAGAACGUUGGUGCUUGGUUGGCCCUUGUGAAACAACUUCAAACAGCUUUUUACGAGAAACAACUCUUGUGAUUUCUGUUGAUUGAAGUUGUUGCAAUGAUCGAAGAACAGCAAAAGCAUCUUCUGAGAAUGUGAGGACCUGCUGCCUUGUAAUUGGAUCGCGGAGCUUGACUAAAGACUGAAGCCGUCGUUUAUUACACUGUAUCUGUGCUUGCGAGCAGCAGGCUUUGUCCAUCGUUACAAAUCCAUCACAUGUGGAGAAUUUAUGCAGUGCUGGAUACUGACUGCUACGCGAUUGUGGGUAAACGCAAUGGUUCUCAUCAAUAGUUAUUUCUUAUCUAGAAACAGUCAACUCCGAUUACGUUCGAUCACGAAACAGUGUAGAUUACAUGUUUCCUUCACAAGAGCCCUUGGAGCAAAGUUCAAAACAAUGGAGAAUAUCUGUGGAUUUAUUCCAGUAGUGAUAUUAAUAUUCCUCCCAGUACUGCUGCUUCACUAUCUACCUAAACAAUGGACGGAUUUUUAAAGCAUAAGGAGGGUGAUGGGCAACGGAAUCGAUGUGAUGGAUUUUUGGAGUACUUGGCUAUGGUCAUUCUUCCUCACAGGCAAAAUCAACCGACAGUCUGCUGAAGGUGUAAUCAUCUUAGGGUAAAGUUUUAUGCCAGACAUUCGUAUGCUAAUGACCGAACUAGUUUCGUGGACAUUUUAUUGGUUGAUACGUCUAAUGCAUGAGACAAUUUGGAGCUU